rnacentral:rRNA from 1 species
CAGCCGUAAACUAUGCGCGUUAGGUGUAUCGGUGACCACGAGUUACCGAGGUGCCGAAGGGAAACCGUGAAACGUGCCGCCUGGGAGGUACGGUCGCAAGGCUGAAACUUAAAGGAAUUGGCGGGGGAGCACCACAACAGGUGGAGCCUGCGGUUUAAUUGGAUUCAACACCGUAAAACUCACCAGGGAAGACUGUUACAUGAAGGCCGAGAUGAAGACUCUGCUAGAUUUUCAGAGAGGAGGUGCAUGGCGUCAGUGACU